AUGUGUGUCCCAAAAAAAGAGGGAGGAAUGGGGUUUCGAGAUAUACACUGCUUUACCCUUGCUUUGUUGGCCAAACAAGCUUGGCGACUAAUUGAUAACCCUGACUCUCUUUGUGCAAGGAUUCUUAGGGCAAAAUACUAUCCGGAAAGGGACUUACUUAAUGCAACACUAAAGAAGAAAGCCUCAUAUACCUGGCAAAGUAUCAUGGAUGGUGUGGAGACCUUGAAGUUGGGAUAUAUUUGGAGGAUAUGA
rnacentral:rRNA from 1 species